UCAGCAGUUCUAGGAAGUGGGGCUGGAACUCACACGUCUACCAAGUUCCCAGGUGAGGCAGAUGCUGCCGGGCUGGGGCGCACACUUGGAGAACCACUGCCUCACAAGAAGUGCCCAGCCACCCUCAGGGGCCAUUGGGGGAUCUCAAUCCGCCACAUCCAUGGCCCUGGCUUUCUAGACAACACACUUAGAACGUGCUGGAUGAAAUGUGUCCCCCUGGACUGCUCCAGAGUCCGGAAAGAGGCGGAAGCAAAGGGCUGCCGACACCCAUCUCUGGAGAAGCUCCUCUUUCCCGAGGAAGUGGCACUUACUGCCAACACCACAGAGUGGAGCUCGGAGCAGGUGAAUUGCUCACAUGAUAAGCAUGGCAGACACCACGGCAGCCCCGGAGGGACUGACCCCAGGAAUAGGUUACAAGUCAUAGUCACUUUCAGGAACUAGAGGGUUUGAAGUCUGUCACCGGGACAUUUGCAGGCAGAGCUGGCUUCAGAGCAAUGCUCGAAAUGGGAGGAGCAUCCUGCCAAGACAUCCCAGCCGUCGGCUGUAAUUUGUCUGCGACUUUUGUCACAACAAAAAUGCAGUGAGUAAUCAACUGAAAUACCCCGCAGGGAUCAGUAGACCCAUCUAUUCUAUGACAGACAAGCGGGUGAAUCUGCCAAAUUCUAAUGCCGACAAAGAUGAGAAUAUGGAACAGGAGUUUAAUAAGGAGCACAUGUUGGGUUAUACUUCAGGACUAGCUAAGGGGAAGUGGUCCUAAUGAUAAAGCGGCCAGAAGGAGCAAAAUUAGAACUCGUACUGGAAAGUAUGAAAUAGACAAAACCAAAGGGUCCAAGCAAAGUGUUAGUGACAUCUGUAUAAAAUCAAUAAAAGCAAUGUGCGAAAUUCACCUUGAUCACUUCCCACCCAUCCAGUCAUUCUCCAUCCACUUUUAUUUUUUUCAUAUUUAUCACUCUCUGAGAUUAGCUUGUUCAUUUACUUGUAUAUUUGUUUAUUCUCUGUUUCCCUCCAACCUGCACGUGCACACACACACAUGCCCUUAAAAAACACAAGGACAGAGACCUUGUCUGUCUUACUGUCCCCAGUGCCUAGAACACUGCCUGGAACAUAGUAAGUGCUCAGUAGAUACAUCUUGAAUGAAUAAAUUUGAGAAAAGUAAAAGAAGUUCGGCUCUAACUUUUAAUUUUUUUUAACGAAGGUAUUGGGGAUUGAACCCAGGAGGUUAAGAUGCUUUUCAUGUUAAGCAUGCUUUUUACCACUGAGCUAUACCCUCCCCCAGACUAUAAUUGAUGCAAGCUGUGAGAAUAAAGACAUCCAAGACUAUAAAUCCAAGGAUAUUUGUAUUAGUCUUACUUCCAGUCAGAAGUAUAUCAAUAUCUCUAACUCACUUAGGGCCAAUGAAAUAGGAACAUUAGUCGAUAGGUGCCCCAUUAUUAUGAGAGCUUUUGCACCACGAAAGUCCUCAAGGGGGUGCUAGCAUAGUAAAAGGGGAGUGGUGCCAUCUACAUGUCAGAGCAGGAGCUCUGGGGCAUCAGGUUUGGUUUUCAAAUGCAAUGAGGGAUCCAUGGGGUCUGAAAGCAACUUAGAAGGGGACUUUGAAAUUGACCACUGGGACUGAGAACACUUGGAUUUAAGACUUGCAAACAAAGGGCCAUGCCAAAUGUCUAAAGGGCAAGCGGGGGUGCACCCAUGAAGGCAAGGAACUCACCCAGUUUUCUAGGUCAUUACCACUUGGAAAGUAUAAUGACCUCUGCAUAGGCCAUGGGGCAGUAAUUCAACUUGGAGGGACUGGACUUAAUCUGGGGAAGUUGGGGAACGAGGUCACCCUCCUUCAGAAGGAAUAUUGUUCUCUGUGCUAAAGCUAUAAGCUAGGUCUGUAGUUUCUAUAAGAAUAGCUCAUUUACAGAAUUCUCCCAACAACACUAUACACAUUAACCAAGAUGUGUCUAUCCCCUUUGCUCUAAUUAAGUUUGAGAGUUGGAUGUAAUCAUUCUUACUCUGUCCCAAAACACUGAGAGCCUACUUGAAAUGUAAAAUCGCAAAGUAAUUCAAUAUUUACUAAAUUUAAAGGAAGUAAUCAAUUUAUGCACAGUCUUUUCCCCCUUUAGCACUGUCUUUAUUUCCCUCAAGUUCCUCUUUGGUCAUUAAGAUUGUCAGCAAGGUUACAGUCAUUGAACAACUUGUCACAGGCUGCAGAUAUUUCUAGGCCAAAUUAAACUCUCAAUGUACUUGCAUAUAACUAAUGAAAACUGUAUUAGACACUUACGGGCAAGACUCUAUACGUUCUGGAUUCAUAGCCCAUUGCUCCGUAGAGAGCGGGGCAUCAAGUAGGUGUUCAUCAAAUAUUGGUCAAAUAAAUGAAAGAAAACAUCUGUCUCCCCUCUGACAGAAUUAUGUUCCCACAUUCACAAUCUCAGGCCUAUCUGACCCAGCACAUGUAUAUGUGUGCAGUGCUCUCAAAAUUACCACAUGCUCAGGCUCCAAGUUGAAUACGUUAUCCUUCCUCUCAGCACAGACAUUUGCAAAACCAAACACUUACCCAAGAUUCACAUACAGGGGGAGGGUAUAGCUCAAGAGGCAGAGCGCAUGCUUAGCAUGCGUGAGGUCCUGGGUUCAAUCCCCAGCACGUCCUCUAAAAAUAAACAAACCUAAUCACCCCCCACCACCAAAAUAAAAUAAGUAAUACAGUAAUAAAUAACAUAUUUUUUUAAAAAGAUUUACAUACAAAUUGUCCCAAGAAAGGUUAUUUUAAAUAGCCUUUCCCCUCAAACAUACCAACCUUCCAGAACCUAAAAUCUGAACUCAAUUUUCAUUUAGGAGAGCUGUUCCCUCCUCUAGAAAACAUACACCUUUGAAAGGUCCAACUGCCAACUCCUAUCUCCAGUUCAUAAUAAUAGACAUUCAUAGUUUACCUGCCACGCUUUCCCUGGAAAGCUCAGUUUGAACCACUCUCCUAACUUAGACUACUUUUACUUCUGCUCAGACUAAUGCCUGGCCCUUCUUCCUUGUUUUCGACUUCUAAUACUUCUUGAAGCUAGAGUCCCCCAUCAGUAUUCCUGACAAAGGAUGACAAAAGCCAGACGACACUUCAGCCUCGUAGGAUAUCCUGCCCUGGAGAUGCUCAGCAGGCAACUGGAAAUUGGAGUUAGCCUGGAGCUCCGGAAUAAGUUAAGAAUCGGAGAGGUCAAUUUGGGAAUCAUUAGCGUAGAGGUGAAAGGUGAAGCUGUGUGAGGAGAUGAAAUUACCCAGAAUGAGAACACAGCAAGAGAGGAGAUGCAGGUCAAUGACAGGACCUUGGAAACUGCUUCACUGAAAGGGGCGAGGGGGAGGGAGAGGCUGUGUGUGUGUGUGUGUCUGCAUGUGUCUGUAAAAACAAUCCCAUAAAGGAAACUUAAGAAGCGUUAAGAAGAAGACAGCAGGUGAACCAAGAUAAACUGGGAAUGCUUUCAAGCAAGAGAAGAUAUGGAAAAGUUCCAGAACCUCCAAAGAGUUAAAGACUGAAGCUAGAGAAGCCACUGGAUUUUGAAACAUGGUGGUCACAGCUAACCUUUGGGCAAGCAGUCUUCAGGGUGCCCCUCUGUGAACUUUGUGUGCCUAAAUGCAGAUGUGUACAGGUGUGUAUGCAUGGACUCCAAAUGACUGUAUGAUUAAAGGUUAUGACUGAAUGAGUCUGGCACUGGGUGUGCCAGACGAUGGUGGUAAUCACCACCACCAUUUACUGACUGUUUACUAUGUGCCAGGAACGGUGCUAAACAUUUGAUAUGUCUGAUCUCAAUUUAAUCCCUGUAACAACCCUAUAAGGUGUCUACAUUUUACAUGUGAAGAAACAAAAUCCACAGAGCUUAAAGAACUUCCUCAAGGUCACACCGCUAGCAAGUGGCAGCACCAGGAUCAGACCCAAGGACAGUUUGAUUCUAAAAGCCCCUACUCUCAGUCUCUGCAGUAACACUUCCAGAUGCUGGUGUUAGCUGGGGAAUCUGCGCAUGACAGGAAGGGAGCGGAUAUAGUGGCUGAGUGUCUCCUAUCGCCAAGUGUUCUGCAUAGGACGUCUCCUUUCACACGUAUACCAUCAAUAUUAUGGCUAUGUUUAGGUAAACGUUAUGAAGGCAUAUUUAAAGAAAUCAGAUUCACUUUUUGGAAAAUAAGUUGAAGCCAUGUGAUUCCAAAACAGCCGUAAUUCAAGUGUAUUUACUACAGUAGCUCCCAAGGGUUUGACAGUUAAAAAAAAAAUGCGGCGUCAUUGAUUUGGUGGUUCUUAUGGAUAUUCAAAUUACUGAUAAGCAAACUCAUCUGAAAAGUGAGGGAAUUUGACAGGAUGAUCUGAAAGGCCUCCUCCAGCCUUGAUUUUUUUCUUUAUGAUUCUUAUAUGCAGGUCUAAUGCCAAUAAUUUUAAAGGUAUGGAAUAAGAAGUAGAAAGUAAAUGCAGCAACAGAACUGGUUUGUAUGUCAACAUCCUUUUAUCCUUAAAAUUUAUAGAGGCUGACUGUUAAACUGUUAUACAAAGAGUCUUUGGUUAUUGGAGGCAAUGACUGCUAACUUGAGCAGAAGCGUGGAAACUCCAUCACAAAAUGAUACUGUGAAAAUCCAGCCAAAUAAUUUGCUUGCAACCAACUGCAGACCCUAUGAUACAACUGGCUAUAGGAAAAAGAGAGAGAGAGAGACUGGCAAACACUCUGGCAGUUAAUGUUUUUGCUGUCUACAGAAAAACAAAUGAGGUUCUGGUCUGAAACAAUUAGCGUCGCUAUUCAUUGUGCAUGUGUGUAGCAAUAAUGCAAGGCAUUUGGGAUGGUUUCCACUGAUUGUUCCCUUCUUUUUCCGGAUUAGGAAAUCCAUUCAGACAACUAAAUAAUAGCAAGCAUUUAUGCAAAUUGUUAAUUAUGAGGCAGAGAUCAUCAUAAUCUUGUAUAUUUAUAAAAUUGAAUAUACAAUGGGGAUUACCAAA